AGGACGAACGCUGGCGGCGUGCUUAACACAUGCAAGUCGAGCGGAAAGGCCCUUCGGGGUACUCGAGCGGCGAACGGGUGAGUAACACGUGAGCAACCUGCCCCUGGCUCUGGGAUAGCCUCCGGAAACGGGGAUUAAUACCGGACAUUCACUUCCUUCCGCAUGGUUGGUGGUGGAAAGUUUUUCGGCCGGGGAGGGGCUCGCGGUCUAUCAGCUUGUUGGCGGGGUAACGGCCCACCAAGGCGACGACGGAUAGCCGGCCUGAGAGGGCGAUCGGCCACACUGGGACUGAGACACGGCCCAGACUCCUACGGGAGGCAGCAGUGGGGAUAUUGCACAAUGGGCGCAAGCCUGAUGCAGCGACGCCGCGUGGGGGAUGAGGCCUUCGGGUUGUAAACUCUUUCGACGGGACGAUAAUGACGGUACCGUAGAAGAGCUCGGCUACUCGCGCCAGCAGCCGC
rnacentral:rRNA from 1 species